AGCAGCCGCGGUAAUUCCAGCUCCAAUAGCGUAUAUUAAAGUUGUUGCAGUUAAAAGCUCGUAGUUGAAUUUCGGGACCAAUCUGCCGGUCGUGCCUCCGGUACGUACUGGUUUUAUUGGUUUCUCCCUUCUGACGAACCAUGAUGUCAUUAAUUUGGUGUCAUGGGGAAUCAGGACUGUUACUUUGAAAAAAUUAGAGUGUUUAUAGCAGGCUCACGCUUGAAUACAUUAGCAUGGAAUAAUGAAAUAGGACGUUUGACCCUAUUUUGUUGGUUUCUAGGAUCGACGUAAUGAUUAAUAGGGAUAGUUGGGGGCAUUAGUAUUCAAUUGUCAGAGGUGAAGUUCUUGGAUUUAUUGAAGACUAACUACUGCGAAAGCAUUUGCCAAGGAUGUUUUUCAUUAAUCAAGAACGAAAGUUAGGGGAUCGAAGACGAUCAGAUACCGUCGUAGUCUUAACCAUAAACUAUGCCGACUAGGGAUCGGAUGAUGUUAAUUUUUUUAAUGACUCAUUCGGCGCCUU
rnacentral:rRNA from 1 species